rnacentral:misc_RNA from 1 species
GGGUAAAAGACGUUUUAAAGUUAGCGGGAUUCAAUUCAAAAGAUCCACCAGAAGGAAAAUAAAGGCCAUUCUUUGCUUGUGUUUUUGUCGAAGGAAUCCGUAAAAAACGCUCAAUCGUUGUAUUAUCACAGUAUAUGAACUUGUCUUUAUCUUAACAAGCAUUUCGACCAGAAUUAUACACGGGGUUUGCCUAGAAUGGUUUUGAAAAGCGGGCAACAUUUCAUCUCGCUCCUUGUCAAAAUAUGGUUGUCAAGUUCAUUGUGAAACUAUGGAAGGAGAUAGUGGAUUAGACGUGCUAUCAAACGAUGGAAUAUUGGAUAUUAUUCCACCAAGUGAAUACGACCCAUUUGAGGCCAAAUUUUGUGCUUCACUUUUCUGGUUGGUUUUCCAUGCCACUGAAGAUGGUGGAUUAGAAGAUGUUCCCUCCCAAGUAACCAGUCCUAUUCAAAGGCUUGAUAAGAAAAAUGGCUUUGUUGUCCAUCCUGAGAUUGUGGAAUUUCUCUGCAAGGGAGAGGUUUAUUGUACAGUAUGUGCUAGAAUAUUUCCUGGAAAAGUGAUGCUUGCUGGUCAUUGGUCGGUUAUACAGACUCUGUCUAGGAAUGGCGUUUACGUCGUUGAUCACACAGACAUUGCCGUCACCGAUGCCUCGUUAGAGAAAAUGAAUCCUUUCAACCAGGGUGCGCAUAUUGCGCUAAUGGAUGCAUUGAUGACUGCGUAUUCGUCACAAGUUGUCAGUAUCCAGAGUGUAGUGCAGGCUGUCAGGCGAUUUUCAACAUUCAGUGCAUCACGUGAACUACCCUUUGACCUCGAAGAUGCUCUCCUGCUCUGGAUCAACAAGACCAACAUGGCUGUGAAUGCCAAAUACACUCAACCAAACCAAAGUAUGACAGGAAAACUUCUGCGCAAUCGUGAACAGGUGAAAAAGACUGGACUGAGGUCAGAUGACGAUACAGUGAUAGUAUUUCCUAUUAUUGAAGACCUCUUAAAGGGGCUCUGCAAUGGCAGAUCUCUCCUCGGAGUUCUGAUGUUUUAUGAACCGAAUGUGAUAAAUUUUGAAGAUAUCCGCUGCUCCGCCGAGAUCACUACAGAAGAUUCAGUCCGUAAUCUCGACGUGUUUCUUGGGCUCUGCAGUCAAUAUUUCUGCACCUCAGUUCUGGCGCUGAAGGUCGAGGAUAUUCUCUAUGGCUCUCCGUCAUUGAAGAUCAAUAUUGUCGCUUUGUUAGCUGAGAUGUUUUCAAAAUGCGAGGGAGAUGCUGCAGGAAACGUAAAACCAGAAAAAGAGCAUGCGCGAAGUAAAACAGCGUGUUCUCAGAAUGGUGAGGUGAUGGUUAAUGGUGGACACAAUGCUGGUGCUGGUACCAGAAGCCAUAGCGCACCCAUUACCAGAAAGCUGCACAAUUCUGAGAAGUUUCCUGCUAGCAACACCUUGCCCGAGUCCGGGAACACGGCGACUGUGAAGAACGCGAGAUAUCGUCAUGACGACAGUGACAUUGCGCUGAAGAUCCAAAAUUACGUUGAGAACGAGUCUUUGAACGUCGGAAUCCCAUCACGUGAAAAGCAUGUGCCAGCGGAGAAUAUGACGUCAGCAAUGGCGACAUCAUCAAAUGUGACAUCGACAGAAGUACCACCUAUGACGUCAUCGUGCUAUAUGACGUCAUCGGAUGACCUCACCCCAACUGACGAAAGCACGGUGGAGGUCCAGGGCGUCGUAGUUAAACUGCGUAAGAAGGUUUCGCGGAAUGUUGAACCAGGAGGCGGUCACGAAGCGUUGCUAUCGAGACGGAUGAAGAAGAGUUUGUGUGACUGGAGUCAGGAGAAUAGCUCAGAGAUGCCAUCUCAGACGAUCUCUCGUGAAGAACAGAUUGAUCUUGAAUCAAAUGAACUACCACCACCGCCAAGCGUCACCCCUGAUGAUCCCAUCUAUCCACCACUUGGCCUUACAAACCACCCGGAACAUGAAUCACCCCGCGACACGGAGCAUGAUUUCAAUCUUGACCUUCAUUCUCUACCAGAAAUCGACCCCCCUGUGGAUAUGCUCUCUCCCAUAUCAGAAACCACAGAACCGGGGGGUUCUGCGGGUAACUCGCUCAAUAACUCCAUGUCAUCAACGCAUGAACAGCGAGAAGCAUUUCGCCAAAGUUCUGCUGGAGAAAAAAGCUUCAAUUUUAAUCCACCCAAGGCCCACACCCCACGGAAAGCUGAAAACAGCCGCCAAAGGGAUGAUUUAAUGCCAAGAGGGAGUUAUAUUAUCACGGAAGUUAAUCACACUCCGGAGACUGCAUUCGCCGCUGGCAUUCCCAUUGUGGAACGCGAGUCACUAAAGAGUACCGCGCAAUCCAGUGAUGCUGCUCUAUUAUAUAGAUCAUCGUUUUCCAAUGGAACCAACUUGACCAAUGGUGUGUGCGAUGAAAAGACGCACGGCGAGCCUUCCGAUUUCAAUGACCAGCGGUAUGUAGAUGGAGCCCGCAGUUCCGACCAGCAGUAUUCAUUUCCUGACAGUGCCCGCAAGUCAUCGACUGGUGCAAACCAACCAUAUCCCACCAUCGACAUGGUCCGUGCAUCUUCAAACGAACGAUUUUCAGAUGGUGCCCGUGAACAGCCGAAUACUGCUGAUCAGCGUCAUCAUCACAAAAUUUAUGCGCAUUCGAACAACAACGAUCAACGUUUGAGAUCAGGAGGGGGUGAACAGGGGGCAAAAAGUGGCGCCCAGGGGGACUUAGAAUCAGGAGACCAGCGGCAUCAGGUGGAUCUUCGGUCAGACGGAAGGGAUGACAAUCGUUUCCUGACCUACACUAAAAAGAAAAGUUCUCGUAAAGAGAACGGCACAGAGUCUGGCUCGUCUGACGCGAAAUUGUGGGUGAAAGAUCAAGGUGAACAGAUUCAUAGAGAGAACAGUUUAGGAACAGAUCGUGAGGAUGAUGGUGAUACGGGACCAUUAUUGGUAUCAUGGUUUGGUCACGCGAAAAGUGAGGAAGAAUCCAUGCGUUAUGGUGAAGAUCAUUUAGCCUCGGAGUCCCGAGUGAAAAAGACAAACUGGGGAGAAAUGGCAUUUGAAGUGAAUGAAAGUUCAGAUGUGAUAAAAAGAGGUCCAUCUAACGAUUCAUCCAAGCCUGAUCCUGUGUCACGUGAACUGAAUCUACUGCGUUUGCGAUUGGCUGAAAAACAACGCGAUAUCGAGGCUCAAAAACAGCGAACCAAAGAACAGCUUGAUGAAGAGAGAAAGAGAUUCGGACAGAAUGUAUUUUGGUUGGCUGUAGGGAAGGGUAGAGAAAGAAAAGAAGGAAAUGAGGCAAACUCUCUCACAAAAGCCUCUCAGCACCGACAAGAUUUGUUGGUCAACCAGAACAGCAACGUGCAAAGGUCGGAACCAACAAACAACAAUAAAGUCGCAACCUUUACUAAACAGUCAUCUUUGGAUGGGGACCUCCCCCCGUCCAUGGGCAGAUUACAGGAUAGGAGCUUUGACAUAAAAGCGAACAAUAUAAACAGCUCUAAACCAUUACCCGAAGACAAAGCAUCGCAGCGUUUCGUCGAGAAUCGUAAUCCCUCGUUGGAACAUCGUGUGACUUCCGUGGAAGAUCAAAACACGUCGGAAGACGUCGUACAAUUCCGUUUAUCCCGGCAAGCGCCAACCAAAACUCUUACCGAUAAUUCAGAUUUACAGAAUUCUGAGAAACCAAAAACUCCUGUAUUAAAUUACAAAAGUAGGAUGAAUGUACCGGUUAGCAUCCAAGCGAAGCCAGUUUCAGAGAACUUUGCGGAUUCUCAGAAUUCUCAGGAUUUGGCUGUUGAUGGAUUGGGGCCGGAUGAGGGUGAAUGCUCAGAAGUCCAGUCACAACGCAAAUGCUGGGAUACAGGGACAGCCAAUAACAAUGAAUCAAACGCACGUUUGUUUGGGAAGAGCUCAAACAGCAACGUGGAAGCACCGCAGAGCCUGGUAAUGAGCGGUUCACCUGGAGUUUCGGAUAGUUCGGCACAAGACGAGCAAAGUCCUGAGGGAGGGAGUGAGAGUCCUCAUUCGUCGCCGGUUGAAGACGAUCGUGAGACGCCCAAGAAAGGCCUGGCACUAUUCAUUGGCGAAGAGAACGCAGCAAGAAAUAACGAUGGUUUGACUCCGGAGCAACUAAGAAAACGAGAGAAAUUUUUAAGAAACAGACAGCAGAAAAUUGAAGAGGAAAAGAUUAAAAAAGAAGCACUCUUGGAGAAGAAAAAAAGGAAAGAUGAGAAGAUGAGGGAGAUUCAAUUGAGACGUGAAGAAGAAGAGCAGAGCCGUCAAGCGAAGCUUCAGGAGAAGAGGCACCAAGCAGAACAUGCCAAGCAAGAACGAGAGAGAUACGAGUUGAGGAAGAAAGAAAAUCUACCUAGAACGAACAUUGUUGAUGGGGGUUAUGCUAGUAUAUCGCAGGGUAUUGAUAGAGUACCUGGUGGUAAUGCUGGAUAUAACAAGACAACAGUUGAUAUUCUGGGGAUUGAAGGUGGUAAGGGUGGAUACACGAGGACGGUUGCGAAGACUUCGGGAGAGAAUGCGUUUGAGAUUCAUGCACCCGCACAGAACACAACAUCUUCAGCUUUUUCGGGUUUUACAGGUGUCCAGUCCUACGUCAAACCAAGCGGGAAAACGAAUCGAAAAUUAAUAAUCAAUGCAAUCUCGCACGUCUGCCUGCCAGGAGUUGUUAACAAGGACACAAAGGAUAAAUGUUUACAGGCCAUGACGGAAUCCAGCGCUCAACAUUUUCUUAUCCUGUUUAAAGACGGCUUGAAAUUCCGCGCUCUUUACUCGCUGGACCUCGAAAGCAAUCAGGUAUUGAAAGUUUACGGAAUUGGUCCACGCUCAGUAACAGAGAAAAUGACUGAACAGUUAUACAAAUACAACAGUGGUGGCAAAGAAUUCUCAAAAAUUCCUGCCAAAGGCUUUUCCCUGUCGGUAGAUGGGUUUACUCUGCACAAGAGCUGUUGGCAAUCAAAUAAACCACCAGUUGCUUCAAAAACGUCCUCGAACUUUAAACAGUCCUCAUAUAGACCGACGAGGUAACAUAGCCAUGGAAUGGGUAGAUAAAUAAUCAUGACCUCGCUCUACCAUCCUGGGACUGCUGGAAAAGCAUUUAUUUGAUACAUUAGUCAAGCUUUAUGAAGAUGGUCUAACCUGGAUCAUUGUUCUUGGUCAUCUUUUAAGAUCAAAAUAGAUGACAGCCUUGUUGUGAAGGCGAGAAACCUGAAGACGUUGUUUCCCAGUCAUGAAACCUUGUUUUAAAGACACAUUAAGCCGAUUUGGUUUGUUGAAAAUUGAAAUCAAGAACAAAGGGAAGAAAUGUUCAAGCAAGAGGUGGAAGCACGGGGAAGAAAUUUGCGCGCGUAAAAUUGCAAAGUGGCGCGAACCACUGACGCGAGCGAAGUAUAGUGGCGGGAACCUCAAAUAUUUUCGUCCAAAAUAUAACCAUAUUUCUCCAUU